rnacentral:rRNA from 1 species
ACGAACGCUGGCGGCGUGCUUCACACAUGCAAGUCGAACGGAAAGGCCCUGCUUUUGUGGGGUGCUCGAGUGGCGAACGGGUGAGUAACACGUGAGUAACCUGCCCUUGACUUUGGGAUAACUUCAGGAAACUGGGGCUAAUACCGGAUAGGAGCUCCUGCUGCAUGGUGGGGGUUGGAAAGUUUCGGCGGUUGGGGAUGGACUCGCGGCUUAUCAGCUUGUUGGUGGGGUAGUGGCUUACCAAGGCUUUGACGGGUAGCCGGCCUGAGAGGGUGACCGGCCACAUUGGGACUGAGAUGCGGCCCAGACUCCUACGGGAGGCAGCAGUGGGGAAUAUUGCACAAUGGGCGGAAGCCUGAUGCAGCAACGCCGCGUGCGGGAUGAAGGCCUUCGGGUUGUAAACCGCUUUCGCCUGUGACGAAGCGUGAGUGACGGUAAUGGGUAAAGAAGCACCGGCUAACUACGUG